CGGAGCCCGAGGGGGCCGCUGCGGGGAGGGUCUUUUUGGGGACGCCUUGCCCCGCCCCAGUCCGGCCGCGGCGCGGUUUCGGGCGGCUGCUUGGAGGGCUGGGGUAUCCAGGGCAUGAGCGGGGUGUGGGAAACCGGGGAGCCUCGGUGCCAGGCGGCGCUCGCGGUCCUGGCCUCGCUGUGCCGGGCUCGGCCGCCCCCUCUCGGGCUGGACGUGGAGACUUGUCGGAGCUUCGAGCUAGAGCCCCCAGAGCGGAGUCCGAGCGCUGCCGACGCAGGCACCUCUGUCAGCCUCCUCACAGUGGUAGUUAUUGUGUGUGGCGUGGCCCUGGUGGCAGUUUUUCUCUUUCUCUUUUGGAAGCUGUGCUGGAUGCCCUGGAGGAACAAGGAGGCCUCCAGCCCCUCCUCUGCUAACCCCUCCCCGGAGGCCCUCCAGAGCCCCAGCUCCAGAGGCAACAUGGCGGACAAGCUGAAAGACCCCAACACCCUGGGCUUCCUAGAGGCAGCCGUGAAGAUCAGCCACACGUCCCCAGAUAUCCCUGCCGAGGUGCAGAGGUCGGUCAAAGAGCACAUCAUGCGUCACACACGGCUGCAGCGACAGACCACAGAGCCAGCGUCAUCCACCAGGCACACGUCCUUCAAGCGCCACCUGCCACGGCAGAUGCACGUCUCCAGCGUGGACUACGGCAAUGAGCUGCCCCCUGCGGCGGAGCAGCCCACCAGCAUUGGCCGCAUCAAGCCCGAGCUCUACAAGCAGAAGUCAGUGGAGGGGGACGACGCCAAAACCGAGGCCAAGACCUGUGGGAAGAUCAACUUCAGCCUGCGCUACGACUACGAGAACGAGACCUUGAUCGUGCGCAUCCUGAAGGCCUUCGACCUCCCCGCCAAGGACUUCUGUGGCAGCUCUGACCCUUACGUCAAGAUCUACCUCUUGCCUGAUCGCAAAUGCAAGCUGCAGACACGGGUGCACCGCAAGACCCUGAACCCCACCUUCGAUGAGAACUUUCACUUCCCCGUGCCCUAUGAGGAGCUGGCUGACCGCAAGCUGCAUCUCAGUGUCUUCGACUUUGACCGCUUCUCCCGCCAUGACAUGAUCGGGGAGGUCAUCCUGGACAACCUCUUUGAGGCCUCUGACCUGUCCCAGGAAACCUCCAUCUGGAAGGACAUCCAGUACGCAACCAGUGAAAGCGUGGAUUUGGGAGAGAUCAUGUUCUCCCUCUGCUACCUGCCCACAGCAGGCAGGCUCACCCUCACUGUGAUCAAAUGUCGGAACCUCAAGGCGAUGGACAUCACAGGCUACUCAGAUCCAUACGUCAAAGUGUCCCUGCUUUGUGACGGGCGGAGACUGAAGAAGAAGAAAACCACCAUAAAGAAGAACACCCUCAACCCCGUCUACAACGAGGCCAUCAUCUUUGACAUUCCCCCGGAGAAUAUGGAUCAAGUCAGUCUGCUCAUCUCGGUCAUGGAUUAUGAUAGAGUGGGCCACAACGAGAUCAUAGGAGUCUGUCGUGUGGGGAUCAGUGCCGAAGGCCUGGGCAGGGACCACUGGAACGAGAUGCUGGCAUACCCGCGGAAGCCCAUCGCACACUGGCACUCCUUGGUGGAGGUAAAGAAAUCCUUCAGAGAGGGAAACCCUCGCUUGUGAUUUCACUCACGUGGAUGCUGCAAUCAGAGAGACUGCCACCGGAGUUAGGAUGGCAGGGCCGAGCCGCCAGCUUCGACAGCGAGAGCUCGUGCCCGUCUCCGAGACCACCUCCGACACCCUGAGCUGCACGCAGGCCGGGCCACACCAACGAGACUCAGCAGGGUUCUUUUUGCACUUGUUCAACCGUCUAAACACAGUGUUGUGCAGCAGCGGCGGUAGGGGCAGUGCCUCUCACUCCAGAGUCUUAGCUGCCCCGUGUAGGUCAAGGCCGAGACAAUUGUCGUGUGGUCAGAUCUGUCUUAGUCUUUUCUGUCUCCCAAGGUGAUGUUUUUCUGGUUCUUUCACUUUUUAUGGAUCUGCUGUCAGGAAGAAAAGAAGAGAAAAAAAAAAAAAAAGAGGGGAGAGCCCUGACAUUUGUUCUAUUAAAUACAGUGUAACAUAGUCGUCUUUGAGGGGGAGGUGGUUUGAGUUUCUGAAAUUUUGUGUCUCCACUGAACUCCCUAACCCCGGAGGAGAGGGAAGUGGGAGACGGGCAAUGGCUACUUUGUUAAGUGGGCUUCAGCGAAGAGCCUUUACAAAGGCUACUGCUUACGACUCUUAGAAGCUCUUUGCUGAUGUGACAUAAACCGAGAUGUGGACUCCUGGCCCCAUGUUGAAAUUGGGAGCAUUCCGAGCUAUCUGUGAACCUUCAGCUGGUCGUGCAGGGCUCCUCUCUCCCAGUCCUCGUGAAUUGAACAUGUCUUGAUUCCUCAUGGGAACUGAGUCACUUCCUUUAGGAAUAAUUCUGUUGAAACGAACAUGCCCUGUGUUUUCUGACGCGCCACAGUUAAUGACCAUAUUUGUUUGAAAACAAGAUCUUUGUUCUCAAAAAUAACCUUCUUGUAAAAAAAAAAAAAAAAGGAAG